GCUAGGGUUACGUCUUCUAUUCAUUCAGCGCUCUUUCGCGGUUCAACCUUAUACCACGAUCUUCAUUCUCUUCUCGAAAUUUAUCAGAAUUUUUCUUCGUUUCUCUUCUGCGCACGGAUCUGCAUAGAUCUGGUGAUGGCGUUUUCGAUCAGAUCGUUCCAGAAUCCGAAUCUUGCAACCUUCGAUCUACAACGCAGAGGUGCGAGGCUGAAGUUCGUGCUGCCUUUGGAAUCUUAAUUGAUAGAUAGUAGAUUGGUCUUGCAUAUGUGAAGGUUUUUGAGGUAUUUUUUGCAGGUUUGGAGAAGGAUCGAUGAGGAAAACGUUGAUCCAGUGAAAAAUUAUGCCGCUGCUGCUUGUAAUCGAUGCCUCUACCUCAGAUCUGUAAUCCGUGACCUCAUAUGUCGCUAUUAUUCGAUAUUGUAAUUGUAGGUUAUCUUUGGGAGGGGAAAAUUUGUGGAUGUGGAAAUUAUCAGGAUGAAUUACCUCAAUACUUAUUGAAUUGAGUGUUUGUGGUAUGAAUCCUGAUGGAUCUUGUCAUCCGACCUUUGCCAUGUCAGGUGCGCUUGCUUGGCAGGUCACAAUAUCUUAAUAAAAAAGUUUUGUUGGUUUUGGGGGAGAUCGCACGGGAUUGCCCGGGAUCUCUCCCUGUGUGGCGUGUGCUCUGUUCCUUGUUCCUUUAUUAUUAUUUCUCUGUCGAUCGACUCUCCUCAGGGAUCAUCAGAUUUGCUCCAACGACGCCGCAUCAAAUCGAGGUAUCAUCUAUCAGUUUCAUGCGUAAAAGCGUUAUGGUUUUCAAUAUUACUCAAUUAUUCAGUUAAAGUCUGUAGGCAACAUAAUAAUAUACGCUAAUCAUUAGUAUCAGAACACUUAUUUCUUUCAAGUCUCAUAAAGUUGUUAAUGAAUUAAUUAGCUAUAUGGUUUUACAGAAAUUGCACAUGAUCUUGAAACGUGAAUACAGUUUUUGAUUGAAGUUUGUUGAAUUCGAAUCAGAUGAAAUUUCAUGUGCAUGAUGUUUGGCCUAAUAUAAACAUUCAGUUGUUCUCACUGUGUAAUUCGAUAACAAUCCAGCGGUUUUUAACUGUGAUUUAAUUUAGGGGAAAAUACAUGUCAAUCAUGUUGUUAUUCUUCGUCACUGUGUAAUUUGGAUUUUGUAAACAAAUGUUAUUCAACCCAAUAUGAUAACAAUUCAUGUACAUUGAUGAGCUGUUUUUUUAACUAUGAUUUAAUUCUGGGGAAGAUGUCAAUCAAUUUGUUAUUGUUUAUCACUGUGUAAUUCGGAUUUUGUAAACAUGUUAUUUUAAUUAACAACCUUGUUGUAAUUGUUCAGUAUGAUAUGAUAGCAAUAGUAAUCCAUAUAUGUUGACCAGCCUAGUAGUUUCUUGUCCUUCAAUUAUACAAUAGAAAUGCAGCUUUGGCUGUCAUCAUUUGCGUAUAUCGGCACUACUCAAAGCUUAAUUCUCAUGAUUGUGCUUGGAUUGCGGGACAUGCGAGUUUCAUUGUAUCAAUUGGUGGACUUCCACAGUAAACCAAGAUCUCAAGGUUGGAUAGAGAGCUUUGAAGAGAUAUUUCUUACUCUAGAAGAUUACAUAUGUACUCCAAUGACUAAGGUGAAAAAACUUAAGUUUCAAGUAUAGCAGUUAAUUUGAUGGUUUUUUAUUGAUAGUUAGUCGUACCUUCUGUUCUUUUAUAUUUUUUUUGAUUUAAUGUUUAGCAUUGGAAUGCACCAGUGAAUUGUGACUUUGGGAUUUUUCAUUAUAACACUGCGGUUGCUGCAGCUGUUUAUAUGUCCCAUUAUCUUGAUUGUUAUGAGGUUACUGAUUUAUAUUGCUCCUUUGUAUACAGAUCUGUAUUGCUCCUUUA